rnacentral:tRNA from 1 species
AGGGAGACCUGUUUCACUGGCAGUAUUGUGCUUUCGGCACAGGCAAAAAGUGAAAGCAUCCCAAGGUCGUGCGAGGCAGUGUUCAUAAAACUUUCAAACUAUUAUCGGUUCGGUGCAGGGGCUAUUAGCUCAGGUGGUUAGAGCGCACCCCUGAUAAGGGUGAGGUCCCUGGUUCGAGUCCAGGAUGGCCCAUCUCCCUGCCGGGAGUAGCGAUGCCUACUAAUCGACCUUCAGCACCUCAACUUGCUUCAAGUCAAGCAAGAGAGUCUGCUGGACGUUGAGUCCAGAAUUGAACCUUGAAAACUGCAUAGCAAAAGAAGAGAAAAAACCUGUGAGGGUGAUUAUGCUGCCAAUUCUUACCAAAGAAAGGGGCAUGAGCCAAGCGCUCACAGGCAAAAGUAAGAAAGUGGUCAAGCUACAAAGA